CCUACGGGUGGCAGCAGUGGGGAAUAUUGCACAAUGGGGGAAACCCUGAUGCAGCGACGCCGCGUGAGUGAAGAAGUAAUUCGUUACGUAAAGCUCUAUCAGCAGGGAAGAAAAUGACGGUACCUGAGUAAGAAGCCCCGGCUAACUACGUGCCAGCAGCCGCGGUAAUACGUAGGGGGCGAGCGUUAUCCGGAUUUACUGGGUGUAAAGGGAGCGUAGACGGUUCGGCAAGUCUGGAGUGAAAUGCCGGGGCUUAACCGCGGAACUGCGUUGGAAACGGGGGAACUAGAGUGCGGGAGAGGCAAGCGGAAUGCCUAGUGUAGCGGUGAAAUGCGCAGAUAUGAGGAGGAACACCGGUGGCGAAGGCGGCUUGCUGGACAGUAACUGACGUUGAGGCUCGAAAGCGCGGGGAGCAAACAGGAUUAGAUACCCUUGUAGUC
rnacentral:rRNA from 1 species